rnacentral:rRNA from 1 species
ACCUUCUAGUAGCUAGUUUCUACUGAAGUUUCCCUUAGGAUAGUAGUAUUAAUCUUAGUUUUAUAAAGUAAAGUGAAUGAUUAGGGACUUAAGGGUACUAUUUAGCCUCUAUCUAUUCUUAAACUUUAAAUAUAUAAGAAGCUUUUAUUACUUAGUUAAACGUAGGUAUUUGAAUAUACUAAUACUAGUAGGCCAUUUUUAGUAAGCAGAACUAGCAAUACGGGAUAAACUAAAUAUAAGGUUAAGGUACUAGAGUAAACACUCAUUAGAUACUAUAAAAGGUAUUAGUAUAUCUUAACAGUAGGACGGUGGCUAUAGAAGUUAGAAUCCGCUAAGGAUUGUAUAAUAACUUACCUACUGAAUAUACUAGCCCUAAAAAUAGAUAGUACUUAAGCAUCUUAUCUAUACCUUGCCCUUAGGGUAGAAACGAUACCCUAAGGAAUAGGUGGAUGUAGAGGUUAGUAAUAAAGCCUAGGGCAUAAGCCUAGGUUGAAUGGCCUUUAGUGUAGAUCUUAGUAGUAGUAGUAAAUACUUUAAUAAGAACUUAAAGGACUAAAGUGGGGAAAGGUUCUAUAUAAAUAGCAAUUAGAUAUAGGUUAGUCAAUCCUAAGCUAUAGGGAAGUUCCGUUUUAAAGGCGCACUUUACGCCAUCUAGCGAAAGGGGAGCCAGUUAAUAUUCUAGUACCUAGAUAUAGGUUUUGCGCGGUAAUGCAAUUAAACGUAAAGAUAAUAGUAGGAGCCCUAGGUAGAGUUCUCUUUUCUUCUUAAUAGUCUAUUACCCUAAAAUCGGUUUAUCUAGAGCUAGGGUUUAAUAGCUAGAAGAGCCUAGUACCUCUAUUAGGUCUAGUACGCUCUUAAUAUUCCUUAAAAAUCCAUAGGAAGGAAUAAUUCUUAUACUAGGUUAUACUUAUAACUGUAGUAGGUCUCUAAGGUAAAUAGCCUCUAGUUGAUAGAAUAAUAUAGAUAAGGGAAGUCAGUAAAAUAGAUCUAUAACUUUAGGAUAAGGAUUGGCUCUAAGGGUUAGGUAUGUUAGGCUUUGGACGGAUGCCUUAGGAGUAGGCAGCUACUAGCCAGGCAACUAGCCGGCGGUAGCCAGCAUUUAGGUACUAAUGUCCUUAGUAGGCUUUAGCCGUCUAGCGUGCAGUUAAUAACUAACUUAGAACUAGUAUAGAUAAGGGGAAUCUGACUAUCUAAUUAAAAUAUAGUAUUGCGAUGGCUAGAAAGUGGUGUUAAUGCAAUGUGAUUUCUGCCUAGUGCUCUAAAUAUUAAAGUGAAGUAAUUUAACUAAGCGUGGGUAAAUGGCGGGAGUAACUAUAACUCUCUUAAGGUAGCUAAAUGCCUCAUUAUCUAAUUAGUAACAUGCAUGAAUAGAUUAAUAAGAUUCCUACUAUCUCUAUCUACUAUCUAGCGAAACUAUAGCUAAGGGAAUAGGCUUGGUAGAAUUAGUGGGGAAAGAAGACUCUAUUAAGCUUAACUUUAGUUUAAUAUUAUAAAAAGAUAUAGAAGGUAUAGAAUAGGUGGGAGCUUUAGCGCUAGUGAAAUACUACUAUUCCUAUUGUUUUUUUACUUAUUUAAUAAAGCGGGGCUGGAUUUAUAUCUAACUUCUAGUUUUAAGGUCCUUCGUGGGCUAACCUGGGUUAAAGAUAUUAUUAGGUGGGGAGUUUGGCUAGGGUAGUAUAUCUAUUAAACUAUAACGUAGGUGUCCUAAGGGGGGCUUAUAGAGAAUAGAAAUCUCUAGUAGAAUAAAAGGGUAAAAGUCCCCUUAAUUUUGAUUUUUAGUGUGAAUAUAAACUAUAAAAGUAUAGCCUAUCGAUCUUUUAGUCUCUUGAUAUUUAAGGCUAGAGGUACUAGAAAAGUUACUAUAGGGAUUAACCUUAGUUAUAUUCAAAAAGGGUAAUUAGUCUUAAUAGUAUGCCUUUACUUCCUUAUAAUAUAAGGUUUAGUAGUUCAUUUAACUAUACUCUAAUCAAUUAUAACUAUAGUCCUAGGCUAAAGCCUAUUACUUUAGUCUAGUUAUUCAUCCUACUAUAUAGUACUAGUAGGUAAUAGUAAUACACCUAGAUGCGGGGAACUCUCGCUAGGUCUAUAGUACUAAACGCUUAGCAAUAAUACCCUAGCGCUCUAAUAAUAAGGGUAUAGUAAUAAUCUAUAGAAUAGAGAUAAUCUAUAGUUAAGUUAGCUGCUCCUUCGGGAGAUGCUGGCCGGUUUAAUGCUCGCUAAGGUGUAGGUUGCCUAGGGAACCUAGUAGAACCCUAGUAUGGCUUAAGGUAUAGGCUAUGCCUACCUAAGAGGGUAAUAUCGUUUACUAGUAGUAUACGCUAAGAAGCGGUA